GAUGAACGCUGGCUACAGGCUUAACACAUGCAAGUCGAGGGGAAACGACGGGGAAGCUUGCUUCCCCGGGCGUCGACCGGCGCACGGGUGAGUAACGCGUAUCCAACCUGCCUCUGACUGAGGGAUAACCCGUCGAAAGUCGGCCUAAUACCUCAUGGUAUCGUCUGCGGGCAUCCAACGACGAUUAAAGAUUUCAUCGGUCAGGGAUGGGGAUGCGUCUGAUUAGCUUGUUGGCGGGGUAACGGCCCACCAAGGCUACGAUCAGUAGGGGUUCUGAGAGGAAGGUCCCCCACAUUGGAACUGAGACACGGUCCAAACUCCUACGGGAGGCAGCAGUGAGGAAGAUUGGUCAAUGGGCGAGAGCCUGAACCAGCCAAGUAGCGUGCAGGAAGACGGCCCUAUGGGUUGUAAACUGCUUUUAUGCGGGGAUAAAGUGAGGGACGUGUCCCUCAUUGCAGGUACCGCAUGAAUAAGAACCGGCUAAUUCCGUG
rnacentral:rRNA from 1 species